ensembl:lncRNA
AGAAGCUGCAAAUGUGAGAUUUGGAAAUGCAUCAGAGGAAAAAAAAUCACAAGCAGAAUAAAUGUUUCUGUGAUCAACUGAACUCACAAAGGUAGUUUUCUCAGAGCAUUGUUUCUUUCCUCCCCAGAAUGACUCUGGCACAAUUCAUAGUCACUGUGAUAUCCCAACAGAGGAGGAGAGAUGACUUGUGCCACAUGGUUCAGCAGUUUGGCCUGUCUCUGUUUAGCCCAAUUCAAGGCAGGAGUGUCAUCUGUACAGAGGAGCAUACCAAAGGGCAUGAAGAUGCUUUUUUAAAAAGUGAUACAACAAGGAAAGAAAAAUAUCCAGUUUUAUGAUGUGUCCUGUGCAAAACCACUAUGGAGGGCUCAAACCUAAGGAUCUGCCCAACAUCUUUGAUCCCACAGGUGGAUGAGAGGUCACCACUGAACAUAUUGAAUAAGUCCGUGGCCACCAGCAUGUUGCAGGAACUUGGAGAGAAGUCGCAGCUCCUUGCUGGUAUGAGACUGGUAACAUGCUAACCUGUAGCUGGAGAGAACUCACUGAGGGGAUUGAUUACGAUAAUUAGCCCCAGAAGUCACUACUGUACAGAAGUGUGGGAACCAGGUGAAGCCAAGUCUCAGAGGAGGUUGAAAGUGGUGCUCUUGAAUCCAGAUGUACAGAGUGGGAAAUCACUGCCAUCAGAAGAGAACAAUGCAAGAAAGGCUUUGCUUUACCAGCCUGCACUACGAAGGAAAAAAGAAAACCUGAGAUAGCACCGAACAUGUCUCUCGGAAGUAAAGGUACGGUCAUGCUGUGUAAAUGUGCUGUGUUGUAAUGUUUGGCCUCCAAAGGGUAGAAAGCACUUUCUCUUAAGUCUACUCUCCCAGCUGGCUGAUUAGGCCAACUUUAUAGCUUGUUAUACUGCAGUUCUCUGCAUAGCAGUGUUUUAGGACAUGAUGAAAUAACUUUGCAGCUGAAGCAAGAGGUACAAACACUUAGAAGAACAAAGCCAGUGAAACUGGGCAAUGUUUCAAACCAUUUAUCAAAGCAUUUUUAGUCUCCUCUUUCAAGGUGAGUGAUAGAGUCAUAAUAUAUUGCGCCAGCAAAAAUAUUUGCAUCAAGAGCAUUUCAUUCAGCAAGUGUAAGUAAUCUUCAGUGCAGAACCACAGGUUGGGGCCAAGCCCAUUCUAGCUCUGUAGGUGCUAUGCAGUUUUCCUCUUUAAAAACAAAACAAAACAAAACAAAAAAUCCAAACCCAAAAAUACCUUUGGGUUUAUGUUUUUGAAAGCAGACUCACCCUUCAGUGUAUGAUCCUAAGCACUGCAAUCUGUUUUUUUCCUGUCUAGCUCGUGCUGUGCAAAUUGAUGCAAGUCAGGCACCCAUCACAAUCAGCUUCUCACUCUCAUCCAACAUCUGUGAAAAAAGACGUAAGAGUUAUAUGGCUCUUAGCAGAGGUGGUUAGGAUAGAAUAUGCAAUACCUGAACAGCUAUUCUGAAUGUCUGAUUUAACUGAAGUAUGGAUUAGCAUAAGAAAUAAAUUGUCAAACAAUAACUCCUUGAUUUUUGAA